GCCGUUCCAACAUGUAAGAAUGCUACUGGAAUUACGAAGAAAGUGCAUGGGAUCAUGUUUUAUCCGAUACACAGCCAGAGUUGCCUCGCAAUCAAAUUUAAGUAUUGGUGAUGUUUUUGGUUUGGAUUCUGUGUUUGACUCCAAGAAAAGUUAAACUAAAAGCACUACUGCGCCGUAAACAAAUGUUUUGUUGUCGAUAUGUUUACAUAAUAAAGAACCUUAAGUUU